CACGUAGGGCGCAAGCGUUGUCCGGAAUUAUUGGGCGUUAAGAGCUCGUAGGUGGUUUGUUACGUCUGCUGUGAAAUCCUAGGGCUUAACCCUGGGCUUGCAGUGGAUACGGGCAGACUAGAGUGUGGUAGGGGAGACUGGAAUUCCUGGUGUAGCGGUGAAAUGCGCAGAUAUCAGGAGGAACACCGGUGGCGAAGGCGGGUCUCUGGGCCAUAACUGACGCUGAGGAGCGAAAGCGUGGGGAGCGAACAGG
rnacentral:rRNA from 1 species